ACUUAGUAUCACGUCAUCUAGAGCAAUGUCGCUGUUCCAAUCAUCUCCUCUGAUAGCUUCAAAGAUGAUCUGGGUGGACAAUUGAAGAAUGUAUAAUCUCCUCCAUUUUCUGGAUGGUGACCUGGCCGUAUUUCCAGUCGCUGCCUUGGUUACCGGACUGUGUCCAGACCACGCUCUGUGCGCGGUCUUUCCCGGAAACAAGAACGUUCAGCGUGUCCACCGUGUGUCCAAACAUGUGAUACCGGAACGACAGACAUCUCUCCGCCGCUGUGUAGUUAAAAAGUGUCAAGAUAAAGAUAAAAAAAAAAUAUCAUUGCACUUUAAAUAUUUGUCAAAUAGUAUGAUAUUUCUUUUUUAUGAUUUUGUAAAAUGCACAAGAUAUUGGU
rnacentral:sRNA from 1 species